UACGGAGGGGGCGAGCGUUAUUCGGAAUUAUUGGGCGUAAAGGGCGCGUAGGCGGCUUGAUGUGUCAAAGGUGAAAUCCCUCGGCUCAACUGAGGAACUGCCUUUGAAACUGUCUGGCUUGAGGCCGGGAGAGGGUAGCGGAAUUCCCAGUGUAGCGGUGAAAUGCGUAGAUAUCUGGAGGAACACCGGUGGCGAAGGCGGCAUCCUGGACCGACACUGACGCUGAGGAGCGAAAGCUAGGGGAGCAAACGGG
rnacentral:rRNA from 1 species